rnacentral:rRNA from 1 species
GACGAACGCUGGCGGCGUGCCUAAUACAUGCAAGUCGAACGCAGUGGGGACGGGUGAGUAACACGUGGGUAACCUCCCAUCAGAGGGGAUAACACUUGGAAACAGGUGCUAAACCGAUACUGAUGGAUGGACCCGCGGUGCAUUAGCUAGUUGGUGAGGUAACGGCUCACCAAGGCCACGAUGCAUAGGCGACCUGAGAGGGUGAUCGGCCAAACCGGGACUGAGACACGGUCCAGACUCCCACGGGAGGCAGCAGUAGGGAAUUUUUGGCAAUGGACGAAAGGUUGAACGAGCCACGCCGGGUUAGUUAAGAAGGGUUUCGGGUUGUAAAACCUUGUUGUUUGAGAAGCGGUAUCUAACCAGAAAGCCACGGCUAACUACGUGCCAGCAGCCGCGGUAAUUC